rnacentral:tRNA from 1 species
GUAGCUCAGUAGUGGAGCAUCUGUCUUGCAUGUAGAAUAUCCCAGGUUCGAUUCUUGGAAUCU